rnacentral:rRNA from 1 species
GAUGAACGCUCGCGGCAGGCUUAACACAUGCAAGUCGAGGGGUAUUUCUCUUCGGAUAGAGAGACCGGCGCACGGGUGCGUAACGCGUAUGCAAUCUACCUUUUACAGAGGGAUAGCCCAGAGAAAUUUGGAUUAAUACCUCAUAGUAUAUAGACUCGGCAUCGAGAUUAUAUUAAAGUCACAACGGUCAAAGAUGAGCAUGCGUCCCAUUAGCUAGUUGGUAAGGUAACGGCUUACCAAGGCUACGAUGGGUAGGGGUCCUGAGAGGGAGAUCCCCCACACUGGUACUGAGACACGGACCAGACUCCUACGGGAGGCAGCAGUGAGGAAUAUUGGACAAUGGGCGCAAGCCUGAUCCAGCCAUGCCGCGUGCAGGAUGACGGUCCUAUGGAUUGUAAACUGCUUUUAUACGAGAAGAAACACUGCUACGUGUAGCAGCUGGACGGUAUCGUAAGAAUAAGGAUCGGCGAACUCCGU